rnacentral:lncRNA from 1 species
AAGACUUCUCACGUGGGUAAGCGUUUUUCAGAGAAAAAUUCCUGGUUUUAGACUUCUCUCAAGCCAUUCAGCAGCUUUUGCUUUCCUUAAAUCUUACUGCAAACGGGAUGAGCUGCUGGUUUUGAGUAGCAGAGCCAGGCCAAUGCUCGGUAAGGGGUUAAAUUGUGCAAUAUGUUUCUCAGCUGAGUAAAGUGAGAAGCCAUCCUGCCCAGCCCUGAGUUUCCAGAGCGAUGUGAUAUGUCCCUCUCAGGCUCCUUGGAGACAGGACGUUUCUUUCUUCACCCUCCUCCAGAUCCUGCUCAGAUCCUCCCUGUAAUCUUGCCAUCUCUCUUUGCGACAUCGCAGCUCAGACCCACCCUGAAUGACGCACUGCCAUUUCUUAGCUCAUUACAUUGUGUGGCUACAGGUUCUGCUGCAAAACCAGCAUGGAAAGAAACAACACAGAAAAAUAACAAAGCUGGUCCGGCCACAAAGGUGGAUAUACAGCUACUUAUAGUGCAAACCAAAAAUGACCAUCACCAUGAAUACAUGACAUUGAGGCUCUGGUUUUGGCUGCCUGACCACAGUGUUUUGAUUUCUUCAGUGCACGCCCAGCUCUAAAACAAGAAUGAAAGACUGCUUAAGCCCCACUGUCACUGCAAGACGUGGCCCUGCCCACUGAGCUGCCCUGUCCUGCCACUCAUCCUGCUGUACAUUUGUAUGGUGUGUCCUUGCUGAGCUCAGGAGCAAGCCCAGGAAAGCAUAUGGUGAACACACUUCAAUAUUUCCUUGCAUCAUCUGAGGACUGUCUUUCUUGGAAAUAACCCCAGAGAAAUCACCUCUUUUGAAUUAUCCCUAGAAUUAAAAGGUGAAUAAAAGGAGUACAAUGCAAUGUUAAAACA